rnacentral:rRNA from 1 species
AGAGUUUGAUCCUGGCUCAGAUUGAACGCUGGCGGCAUGCUUUACACAUGCAAGUCGAGCGGCAGCGCGGGGGCAACCCUGGCGGCGAGCGGCGAACGGGUGAGGAAUACAUCGGAACGUACCCCGGAGUGGGGGAUAACGCCGCGAAAGCGGCGCUAAUACCGCAUAUGCUCUGAGGAGGAAAGUGGGGGACCUGCAAGGGCCUCACGCUCUGGGAGCGGCCGAUGUCCGAUUAGCUAGUUGGUGGGGUAAAGGCCCACCAAGGCGACGAUCGAUAGCUGGUCUGAGAGGAUGAUCAGCCACACUGGGACUGAGACACGGCCCAGACUCCUACGGGAGGCGGCAGUGGGGAAUAUUGGACAAUGGGCGCAAGCCUGAUCCAGCAAUGCCGCGUGUGUGAAGAAGGUCUUCGGAUUGUAAAGCACUUUCGACGGGGACGAUGAUGACGGUACCCGUAGAAGAAGCCCCGGCUAACUUCGUG